rnacentral:lncRNA from 1 species
AAAACGUUAAAAAGGGAUACUCUAGAGCCUUCUUGCUCCAGCUGGAAACCAAUAAAUAAACCCCUUUGAAAGAAACAAACGUCAUAAAUUAAUUAUCAUCCAUCAAAUCAUCGGCUGACCGUUUCAAAAACCCCAAAAAAACUUUCUUAAGUGCUUCACCUUUCUUUAAUGCUCUCCCAAAAGGCAGAUUUCAAAAAGCAAAUUCUUCUUCUUCGUCAACCCUCCGUCCUCUCAGUACACCCAUGCUCUCCGUCCUCCUUUAGUCCUCAGCCACCAGACCCGCCGCUCCAGACGGUACCAAAUUCUCCAGAUAAGUUGAUUCCCUCCGUAUUAUUCCUUCAGAUGCAAUUAUAUGCACAAUCUUAUUAGCUUCUCUAUUUGUAAAAAGGAAAACAUAAGUCUGAAAACCUAAACUUAGGUUUUUAGAGUCCUUAAUAAAUGCAGUAAUCUAAGAUCUAUCCUCUUGCUGCUCUUGUAACUUACGAAUCACCGACCGCGAAUCCCCCUCGAUCUCCACCUCUCUCAAACCAAGGUGUAAGCCAAGUUGUUCUGCAGCAAAGACAGACGGUAUGUUUGAAUUCAUUACUAUUUUUGAGCAAAGAACAUCAGCUUUAGCAUUUCGGAUAAUUAACCUAGAACACGAUUCUUUUCUAUGUUUGUUGAAAGCGGCGUCAAAAUUAAUUUUAAGUCUCGUUCCUACUGGAGCAACCCAUCUCACUACACGGAGCCGAUCUACAGGUAGAGAUGUUCUUAACCCAUCUAGUUCCUAUAUAAAAUUUUUUACAAAAACCACAAUUUGAGCACCCGUUUUAACUUCACGUUCAUGGAUAUAUCUGUUUCUGGAAGUCCAAAUCGCCCAUAGUGCACAUGCUAUGACUCUGCAAGUAGCCGUAGAUCUGGAUUCAAAAAUAAGUUUUAACCACUCUCUGAAAUCAGUAAUUUCAUCUGAACGAGACCAGCUUAUACUCAAGGACUCCCAUGUUUCCUUUGCUGUAGGACACUCGUGGAACAAAUGUUCCCUCGUUUCCACUUCAUUUUGGCACCGACUACAAGUGGCAAAACCCCUCAAUCUCCGGUAGUGUAGAUUACUGAAAAUAGGCAGAAAGUUUCGCGAAAAUUGCCAAAUUGUAAUCUUUAUUUUAAAGGGUAGAUCUAGAUUCCACAAUUUUUUUUUAAAAUUGUUUGUAAUUUGCUUGUAAGUCAUUCUAAUCAUCAUGUAAAAGGAUUUUAUGACCACUUCGAACCGAAAAUUCCCCAAUCAGCUCACCUUGUCAAAUGACAAAGUAUUCGUGCUCAUUCAACGACAAGGGAAUACAGAGAAUCCUCUCUGCGUCCUGCUUUGAAAAGGUAUUAUAGAUGUAACACCCCGAAUCGUGGCCGUUAUCGGGGUCAAACACGAGGUGUUAUCGGCCUUAAUUCAUCACUUAUACAGCUCAAACAAUUUAUUUUAAAACUCCUAGACAAGCUGUCAAUCUGCGUUAUAAUGACUUAAAAAUUCGUAUCUUGAGUUUCGAAACUCGAAAUCAAAUUUCGUAAUUUUUUCUUGAACUUAGACUCAUAUAUAUAUCUAAUAAAAUUUUUGUAGAAUUUUUGGUUAGGUCAAUUAGUACAGUUUAUUUGUUAAAGUCUCUCCUGUUUCAGGGUUUGACUACUCUGACAUCUGAGCAUUACGACUUAGAUAUUUCCCUACACAGGGCUUCAAUGCCUAUGUCGCUUGUCUCUAAUGAAACUAGACUCAAUAAUGAAUAUGCCGCUUGUCUCUAAUGAAACUAGACUCAAUAAUGAAUCUGCAAAUAUAAAGGAUGACUUCUAAUUAUCUCUACAAAAUUUAUGGUGAAUUUCCAAAGUCAGAACAGGGGAUUCAGAAAUUGUUCUGGCCUUGUUUCACAAAAAUUUAAACAUCUCAUAAAAUAUAGUUCAUAUGGUCGUUUCGUUUCUUCCAUAUGAAAAUAGACUCAUUCAGCUUUGAUUACAUAUUUUAUUCAUUAUUUAAUUCUAUUUCUACUAUUUUUAGUGAUUUUUCAAUUUCACAUCACUACUGCUGUUUGCAUCCAUUAUUAGAGUAAAUUUUACCUAUUAGAGUAAUUUAACAUACAUAUCACCAAGUAUGAUCAUGACUAGUCAUACCAAAGGCUAAUCAUUACCAAGCAUUUCCUUACUACUCAAUAACCAUAUCAUGAAUGUAACACCGGAAAUGAUUAGCCAUGACAAACGGCAUAAUAAUCAAAUAGACUUUAACUAUUACUUAUAACUAAGUAUCAUAAGACCAAAUCCAACUUAACAUUUAUGCCAUUUUCGCAUGGCUAAAAGUAUACAUACCAAGGUUCAAACAAAACAUAAUAGCCUAUACAUGCCGAAAUGUUCUCUUAGACUGACUAAGAAGAAGAUACCAAAAAGUUGCAAGCUGGUGUGAUGACUUCGACGAUGGUCCCGAGCACACAAAAAUGGAUCAAAGGAACCUAAAUAAGUGACAAAUAAACACACUAAAUGAGUAUAUAACUCAGUAAGUCAUAAGCAUUAUACUGCCGUCCAUUUAUAAAGUAUCAUAGAAGAAAACAAUUAAUACAAGAUUAGGUACUCUAUCCAUACCGACUAUGCUAUAAUUUCACGCACAUUUAUCAUUACAUGCUCUCAACUAGCCAAGCCUCUAUUGACAUCUCGUAUGAUAUUCGAUAUGAUAUUUGACGCAUUUCCACACAUCAUUUUAUUUUCGUUUAGAUUAUACUAAUAAUAGCAUUUCAUCUAUUCCACAAUAAUCUUAUGUUCCUAACUUUAAAUAUAAUCACCACAUAGGUUCAAGACUUACCAAGCUCAGUUCCAAAUAUAAACAUAACGUCUAUUCCUCAUGAACUUAAAGUAUCUACUCAUUCCGCUGUCCAUGAUCUACUCGAUAAAGUCGCACACUUAACGUUAAUAAUUAUUCGAAAAUAUAUAUAGUAAGUCCGCACACUUAGUGCUUAAUAAUCAAACUCGCACACUUAGUGCUAUACAAUUAAACUCGCACACUUAGUGCCAAUCUCAUUAUCGUAAAUGUUUAUACCCGCACACUUAGUGCCGAAAUCAACAACUCAGUACAUCUCACUUCUUUUUUACACGAUAAUUUUGUCACUACAUGCAUUUAUAUAUCAUUCCAUUCGGCAUAAUUACAUAGGUAUUAUGAUUAUUUAAAUCAAUACAAAAUAUAUGCUUAAUAACUUACUUUGUGUUGGGUAAAACGGUUCCAACUCGGCUACUCGAUGUUCUUUCCUUUGCCUUUGUUUGAUUCUCCUCCUUUAACUUCUUGAGCUUAAUCAAUAAAUUAACUAAUUUAACCGUCUUGCUAAAUAUUUAUAUCAAAAUAUUAAUGAUUUCAUAUCAUAGGAGAUACAUGACUAAUUCUUAUCUUCCUACCAUAUGUUUUUGAGCUAUUCGGCUAAUAACCAUAUGCUAUCACCCUACUAUCAAUAAUCCAAUCACGCAUGCAUAUAUAUAUAAUUGGACAUUCGGCAACCACCCUUGCUAAUUACUCAUUUUUAGUCGAUUGUAUAUAUAAUCCAAAAGUAAUAUCAUGAAUGGGCAUACAUUUAUAUAUAUAUAUAGCCGAAUGUGCAAACUUAGACUCAACAUCACCUAUGCUUUUAAUUUGAUGGCCGAAUAUGCAUAUAUAUAUGAUAUCAACUAUACUAUCAUCUUUAGUUCAUCUAAACACAAAAUUUCAUCUCAUGAACACUUGACCGAAUUUUUUUUUCUAAUUUAGCAUGGCUUCACAUCUAUUUGCAACAUCUUAUAAAUCCACGUAUACCACAUUUCUACAUAAAUUUUCUUUCACUUUUCCACUACUUCCAUUCACAACAUCAAAAGCACCAUACUCUUAGCAUUUAGCUCUUCCUAACCAUAUGCCAUCUAAGUACCCCUUUAGGUAGAAAAUUAACAUAUGGGUUGUAAUAAGACAUUGGCUACUAACUAGAUUUUCACAAGAAUUUAGUAAAAGUAACAUAAAUCCUACCUUAAUCAACCCCUUUUGAGUUAGCCGAAUGUCUAAAGCAUUUCUUCCUUCCUUCUCCUAACUCACGGCAAUUGCAAAAAGAAAGAAGAUGAAUACUCCCUCUUCCUUCCUUAUUUUAUUCAUCUUUUCUUUUUAAUUCCUUUCUUUAAUUUAUUUUAAUUGUUAACUAAUAAAAGAAUUGCAUUGAAAUUCAACCUAGUGGAUGGGGCAUUAUGGCUUGGCCGGCCACUACUUGGGUUUUUGGGCAAUUUGACAUGCAAACCCAAGUUUCCUCACUUUGUUAUUAUUUGAUCCUUACAUAUUCCCCUAUCAUAUUUUCUUAAGUUCUCAACUAAGUCAAUCACAUGAAAUUCACAUUCAUAAGUCUAAAUUAAAACAACAAAUUUUCACACAUGCACUAAUAUACAUAGAGGAUAUGCAACCAAAUUUUAAAUAAAUUUUAGGACUCGGUCUUGUGGUCCUGAAACCAUAUUCCGACUAGGGUCAAAUUAGGACGGUCACAAUAGAUCAACUCGAAUUUCAAUUUUCUAGCGUUAGCAUCAAUCAUAUCACCAUCUUUUAGAACCCUCAGAUUGACAUUCGUGUUCUGUAUUCUGAAUUCAUCAUUUCCAGGGAUCUAUGUGUCUUCCCAAAUUGAGACUUGUCAGCCAUUUCCUAUCCUCCAGCCAGCCCCUUCAAGAGAAGUCCCUUAGCAGCCCAAAUACUCUGCCAGGUAAAGGAAGGUAAAUUUCCCAACCUGGAGUUUAAAAAAUCAAACUCUUUAUAAUAUUUGGCUUUUAAAGUAUGCGCUAGUAAAGAGCUAGGAUUACGUAACAAAAGCCAACCCUGUUUGGCCAAUAAACCGAUACUAAAAUGAUUCAAAUUGUGAAAACCUAUACCACCUUCUUUCUUAAGCGCGCAUAAGGACUUCCAAUUGCACUAAUGCAUGCCUUGCUUUCCCUAUUUUUUCCUCCACCAAAAUGACCCCAUGAUAUUUUCCAAUCUUAAACAUAACAAUAUUGGCAAAAGGAAACAAGCCAUAGUGUAAGUAGGAAGUGCUUGCAAAAUAGCAUUUAUAAAACCUCUCAACCUCCCUGUGAAAUGUGCCUUAGACUCCAAUUGUUGAUCCUUUACUUCAAUUGAUCUUUCAAAUAUUGGAAAGCCAUUUUCUUUUUUCGACCCACAUAAUUAGAAAGACCAAGGUAAUUCUCUAGAUUUGUCGAACACCAAACAUUAAGAAUCUGAAAAACCAAAUUCUUAUCCUGGUCCUCCACAUUCGAACUGAAAAAUACAUUACCCCGAGCAAGACUCAUAUUCUUCAAGAAUAUCCUUCAGCACACCAGAUUCCUCUGUUUGAAGCCUCCCCAAACAAUAUAUAGUCAUCAGUGAACAUGAGAUGGAUUAUAGGUGGAGCUGAUCUACAUACCUUAGCUCCUAAAUUUUUUCUUUCCUGACUUGCAAGUCUCAUUAACACAGAAAGCCCUUCUCCACAAAACAGAAAUAAAUAGGGACUCAAAGGAUACCCUUGGUACUAACCCCUAGAAGACCUGAAACAUGACCUUUCCUCCCUAUUUAUUAAAAUAGAAUACUAGACUGAAUUGACACAUUUGAGGAUAAAAUUGAUAAACUUUUUUGUAAAACCCAUUUAAACCAUGAUCCCUCUAAUGAAAGGCCACUCCACUCUAUCAUAGGCCUUACUCAUGUCUAAUUUUAAGGCCAUGAAACCUUUUCUGCCAGCUCUUUUAUUCUUAAAAGAAUGAAGAACUUUAUAAGCAAGUAAGACAUUAUCGAAAACAAGUCUACCAGGAACAAACACACUUUGAGCAUCAUCAAUACACCCAUCCAAAACCUUUUGAAGUCAAUUAGCCACUUUCUUGGCAAUAAUCUUAUAAAUAACAGUACAUAAACUAAUGGGGCGAUAGUUUUUCAAAUUGGUAGGAUUAGCAGUUUUAGGAAGCAACACCAAUUGAGUCUUAUUUAUUUCUUCCAAAGAAUUGCCAUUAUUAAGGAUAUUUAAACAAAAGUCGCAAGUAUCCUUACAAAUGAUGUGCCAGUACUUCUGGUAGAAAAUUACCGAGAAACUAUCAGCACCUGAAGCUUUUGUAAGGCCCAUUCUUUUCAGCGCCUUAAUAAUUUCUCCAUCAGCGUAAGUGGCCAACAAAAUUAGAUUCAUGCUUUCUGAAAUACAUGAAUGCACCCUAGAAAGUAUGUGAUCCAUAUUCCCAAUUCCUCUAGACAUAAAAAGAUCAGAAAAAUACCCUUUAGCAAUGGACUCCAGCUCCCUACUAUCCAUAGCAAGAGAGCCAUCAAAUCUUUGUAGGCCUCGAAUCUGGUUAACACGCCUUCUCUAGGACGCGUACUUAUGAAAGAAUGCGGUAUUCUUAUCACCCAUUUGCAGCCAAUUAGCACAAGCAUGUUGCUCCCAAUACCUCUCUUCCUUAUCUAUCUUCACAUUUAGAUGGAGUUUGACCUCGACAAUUUCACCCAAAUUCUCCUCUAACCUCUCUUCACAAUUUAAUUCUUUCAACCUUUUAUUAAACCGAUUCACCUCUCGAUUUCUAUUAUGCCUGAUCUUACCUACCCAAACUUUCAAGCCCUUAGUAAGAUUCACCAUGCGAUUUAAGAAAGAGCUAGAACUUUCCUCCCAUAGCUUUCUAAUCUCCGCCUCACAAGAUUCCUCUAGAGUCCACCAAGCUUUGAAACGAAACCUGUAUGGUCUUCUUCCCAAAACAGCAUUCUCCGUCUCAAUGAGCAAUGGAAAAUGAUCUGAAAAAGAGUACAGAAGAUGUUUCAAAGAAUAAGAUAGAAAGAGUUGGAGCCAUGCGUCUGUAACAACUCCUCUAUCGAUUCUUUCUCUAAUAUUUUGUUCCAUUAUUUGCCCCCUUUCCUAUGUGAACCAUGCACCCGAGAAACCUAUAUCCUCCAACAUACACUCUUCCAAAGUUCUACAAAAUGCCUCCAUCUGAGUCUCUUCUCUUAGUAACCCUUCUUGUUUUUCAUGAGCAAAAAGAAUCUCGUUAAAGUCACCCCUUACAAGCCAUGAAGCGAAUUAUUCCUUCCCAAUAUUCGAAGUAACUCUCAAGUUUCUUGUUUAUUUGUGACCUCCGGAGCAUCAUAGAACCCGGUAAAAUGCCAACUAGAAGCAUCUUCAACAGUUUGAAUUUCAAUGUCAAUAUGGUUCUUUGAAAAGCUCUUUAAGUUGACUAAAUUACUACCAUUCCACCCUAGACUAAAGCUACCUCGAGAACCUUCAGAGGGAAUAUUGAUAAACCAUAAAUAUAACAUGUUUUAAUCCUAUGCUUAGCAUAUUUUUGGAUGAUUUAUUAUCUAAUUUAGUGAAUUUGAUGCUCUUAAUCCUUUAAUUUCAUGUUUUAUACUUAGGAGAGCAUAGAGGAACAAAAGGAGCAGAAAACGGGCCAAAAAAAGAACAAAACGGGCUGAUUUAAAGAUCCACAUGGCUAAAAUUAUUUCCACAUGGGCUGAGCACACG